UACGUAGGUGGCAAGCGUUGUCCGGAUUUACUGGGCGUAAAGGGCUUGUAGGCGGUUCGUUAAGUCCGGUGUGAAAUCUCCCGGCUCAACCGGGAUAGGUCACUGGAUACUGGCGGACUAGAGGGGGGUAGAGGAAGGCAGAAUUCCUGGUGUAGCGGUGAAAUGCGUAGAUAUCAGGAGGAAUACCAGUGGCGAAGGCGGCCUUCUGGGCCUACCCUGACGCUGAGGAGCGAAAGCGUGGGGAGCAAACCGG
rnacentral:rRNA from 1 species